UAGGGAAUAUUGCAAAAUGGGCGAAAGCCCGAUGCAGCAACGCCGCGUGGGCGAUGAAGGCCUUCGGGUCGUAAAGCCCUUUUUGAGGGGAUGAGGAAGGACAGUACCCUCAGAAUAAGCCUCGGCUAACUACGUGCCAGCAGCCGCGGUAAAACGUAGGAGGCGAGCGUUAUCCGGAUUUACUGGGCGUAAAGCGCGUGCAGGCGGAUUGGAGAGUUGGAUGUGAAAGCUCCCGGCUUAACUGGGAGAGGUCGUUCAAUACUUCCAGUCUUGAGUGCAGUAGAGGGAAGUGGAAUUCCGGGUGUAGUGGUGAAAUGCGUAGAUAUCCGGAGGAACACCAGUGACGAAAGCGGCUUCCUGGACUGUAACUGACGCUCAGACGCGAAAGCUAGGGUAGCAAACG
rnacentral:rRNA from 1 species